GUCUAAAGGAAAAAAAGUUAAUUAACCAAGCACAUGCUGUUUAUGAUGACGAAUGCUCGUUUUUAAAACGGAAAACGACAACAACAACAAAAAAAGAAACCCAAACAUUUUAACCAUUCUUACACCUUUUUGUCUGGCAACAAUGUAGAAUAAAGAUUAACCCAUCAGAUCAUAAUCCACCCUGCCCCUCGUUUUGUUUUGGUUUGUUUUCUGUUCAUGCCCUCCCCUCCUUAUCCUUUGUUUUUCCCCUGGUUUCUGUUGCCCGUGGUUGGGACCGGUGAUGUGAUUUGGUCAGGUAGAGAGUACCUCCACUUUAGCCCGGUUGCAAUCCGGACGUUUUCUCUUUUAACAGAGGUGCCCAUUCCGUGCUUGGAAAUGCAGUUACUACUCUGUGAAUGACAUGUUGUAUAAAUCAAUGUUUGAAAAUAAUGAUAUUGAAACUUUUUAAGUUAAAAACGAAAAAAAAAUUUUUUUGGUUGUCUGCCAUGGGUGGGUUAUCUCUUAGAAUCGCAUGCUGUAGAAUUGCUUAAAAGGUGCAUAUGAAAUUAAGUCCUUUUGAUGUUUUUCUUUGAGAAAAUAACCUGUUGAAUAUAUCAAUACGAUGGUAUUUAUAUUUUUCUUUUUCCUUUUUUCCUUUUUUUUUUCCUCUUUGUUUUUGGCUACUCCGUGCAUACACGAUUCAACUAAAAUGUCAAAGCUAUGCACUCGAGAAGCAAACCCUGCGACAUUAACGGUUACUUGGUCCAUACUUGGGAGGGAUUCCACAAAAAUUAAAGUAAUGUAAGUGUUUAAAUUGUACACACAUGCAUACGUACAUUCAUUCACGUAAACAUACACAAUCUCCAAUGGAACAAAAUAAAAUUUUCAUUCCUUCUGUAGCAAACGAAAUUCCAUUUACAAAGGAAAACAUUUUAUAACAGGUUUUUUCUGUCCUUUAAUAAAAAAAAAAACGGGAAAAAAAAAUCUUGCAGCAUCUGAAUGGCAGAAGUUUCUGUUGUUCCCUUCUUGUAAACAAACGCUCUUUCUUUAGCAGUAGUGACAUUUUUUCCAUUCUGUUUUUUUUCUCUGCGACAUUCUGUACAAAAAAAAUGUGCUGUAAUUGUGCGUUAGGCCUGGAGUUGGCAAAAAAUAAAACAAAAUAAAAAAAAUAUUACAAAUUAAUUAAAUUCCCUUUCCUUUUUCUCUCUUUCUCUAUCAAAUAACUGUAGAGCUCUGCACCCCCACUGUUCCCUUUUCACCUUUUGUAUUUAAUUUUAAAGUCAGUCAGUGUACAACCGAAAGCUGGAUGCAAGAUAGAAACUAUAUUAAAAUGUACUGUUAUUUAAGAUGUAAUAAAAAGCAGUUUGAGAUGACCUACUGUGUUGAGUGUGAUUCACUUAGAGCAUUUCCCACUGAAGCUAGAAUGUUGCAGACUGUUUGGUUUCCUUGUAAUUAUGUUCAAGUCAAUAAACAAUUUCUUAUCCAC
ensembl:lncRNA